GACGAACGCUGGCGGCGUGCUUAACACAUGCAAGUCGAACGCUGAAGCCUAGCUUGCUGGGUGGAUGAGUGGCGAACGGGUGAGUAACACGUGAGUAACCUGCCCUCUUCUUUGGGAUAACGCCCGGAAACGGGUGCUAAUACUGGAUAUUCACUGAUUCUCGCAUGGGGGUUGGUGGAAAGGUUUUUUCUGGUGGGGGAUGGGCUCGCGGCCUAUCAGCUUGUUGGUGGGGUGAUGGCCUACCAAGGCUUUGACGGGUAGCCGGCCUGAGAGGGUGACCGGUCACAUUGGGACUGAGAUACGGCCCAGACUCCUACGGGAGGCAGCAGUGGGGAAUAUUGCACAAUGGGCGAAAGCCUGAUGCAGCGACGCCGCGUGAGGGAUGGAGGCCUUCGGGUUGUAAACCUCUUUCGCUCAUGGUCAAGCCGCAACUUAGGGUUGUGGUGAGGGUAGUGGAUAAAGAAGCGCCGGCUAACUACGUGCCAGCAGCCGCGGUAAUACGUAGGGCGCGAGCGUUGUCCGGAAUUAUUGGGCGUAAAGGGCUUGUAGGCGGUUGGUCGCGUCUGCCGUGAAAUCCUCUGGCUUAACUGGGGGCGUGCGGUGGGUACGGGCUGACUUGAGUGCGGUAGGGGAGACUGGAACUCCUGGUGUAGCGGUGGAAUGCGCAGAUAUCAGGAAGAACACCGGUGGCGAAGGCGGGUCUCUGGGCCGUUACUGACGCUGAGGAGCGAAAGCGUGGGGAGCGAACAGG
rnacentral:rRNA from 1 species